GUGUGACAUUUUAAAUGGAGGACAUGCAGGUACAUUGUACUAAAUAUCAGUUGGUUAUUUAUACAGAGGUUCUGUUGCCACAUUGUUUCUGAUGGUAUGAAUGUCAGUCAUUUGCAUGCUUUUGGUACAAUAGUAUCUCGCACAUUAACCUUUAUAAGAUCUGUUAGAAAUUGAACUUAUAGCUGUUAGUGGGAUGAAUAUGAUGGUCCCUUGUAUUAUUUGGCCUUGUUAAAUACAAAGUCAGUUUGAAACCAAAUCUAGGGAAGAAUGGUUCUUAGAUGUAGUAGAGCUGUGAGCUGUGUUUGAGGAAACUAUUUACUUUGUUGUGGAAAUCAUACAUAGAAAAAAUUCUGGUCUAAUUUUGUGAAAUGCAAAAUGAUAGGGUGAAUGCAAAUUUUUAUGCUGAUCGUCUUUGAACAUGUUUAUAGGACAAGCCAAUUUGGGCCUUCUUGUAUUUGGCACCAAGGCUCAAUUAGACAUAAAAAUAACUUAUUCCUUCACACCGGCUAUACAAUUGCCAAAAGGAAAGAAGCUCUCAAAUGUUGCUCCCGCUCCCUCACUCUAUCUCACGCUCUCUCUCCCUCGCAAAUGGGACUAAGUCCCUCUAUUUACAUGCUUUGGCCACCCCUCAUGAUGGCCAUUGUGUGGCCAAGCUUAAGUUACAAAUAAAAUACUCAUGGGAUGUGAGUGAUGGACAUGAGGAACCGGCUGCCUUUGACACAUCAUUCCAGCCGUAGCACUCCAAGUGGGUAAGGGAGGGAAAUCUUGGCGCCAAGUGUUUUAGUCCCAAGUGGGCAGGCCACUUUAUGCGCCCCACAUGGGCUACACUUCCAACCCUCACGCUGCAUGGCUUGGGCUCAUCUUCCAUGCACGUUGCCUUGGCUCCACUCACCACUUCACAUGCGCCCCACUCAAUUUCCUUGGUCCCCAUGGUGCGCUGUCCACCUUGCAAGGUGUCCCCAAGUGUUGCACUACACCUGGCCACUUUGGCCCUUCAACAUGCACCCAACCUUGCCUUCACGUUGCAUGGCUUGGGUCUCUCUCCAUGCAUGCAAAUGUGCUGGCUCCACUUGGCUUCACACACCACACGGCCCGUGUAUUUUAGGAGUGUUGGUUCCACUUUGGCAAAGCGCACAUGCGCUAUACUUUGGUUGACUUGGGCCAUCAAUGUGCGCCCCACUAUCUUGCUCCAUGUGCUGCCCAUUUAGUGGCUCACAUGCACCACAC
rnacentral:misc_RNA from 1 species